rnacentral:rRNA from 1 species
UACGGGGGGGGCAAGCGUUGUUCGGAAUUACUGGGCGUAAAGGGCUCGUAGGCGGCCAACUAAGUCAGACGUGAAAUCCCCAGGCUUAACCUGGGAACUGCGUCUGAUACUGGACGGCUUGAAUCCGGGAGAGGGAUGCAGAAUUCCAGGUGUAGCGGUGAAAUGCGUAGAUAUCUGGAGGAAUACCGGUGGCGAAGGCGGCAUCCUGGACCGGCAUUGACGCUGAGGAGCGAAAGCCAGGGGAGCAAACGGG